GCCUUCGUGGUGUAAUGGUAACACACUCGGCGCGUAUUCGAUCGGUCCAGGUUCGAGUCCCAGCGAAGGAA
rnacentral:tRNA from 1 species